rnacentral:rRNA from 1 species
UACGUAGGGUGCGAGCGUUGUCCGGAAUUAUUGGGCGUAAAGAGCUCGUAGGCGGUUUGUCGCGUCUGCCGUGAAAGUCCGGGGCUCAACUCCGGAUCUGCGGUGGGUACGGGCAGACUAGAGUGAUGUAGGGGAGACUGGAAUUCCUGGUGUAGCGGUGAAAUGCGCAGAUAUCAGGAGGAACACCGAUGGCGAAGGCAGGUCUCUGGGCAGUAACUGACGCUGAGGAGCGAAAGCAUGGGGAGCGAACAGG